AAACCUGCGCCGCUUUGGCGUAUUGGGCUUCUCUCAGGAGCCAUUGCACCAUCGCUCUGGAGGUUCGGGAGGAUGAACCUUGGAUAGUCCUCAUCAGUCGCCUUCUUCAUCGGAUCCGCAAUGAUGCGCUUUAUUGUCUGUUCUUUGCAUAACUGUGGCAAGUACAUUCCUGUGUGCGACCCAACCCCAUUCUUUUCGGUUGCGUUAGCAUUGCCUAACGAGAAAUCUAGGCAGCUAAUUUUUUCUUAUUGUAGUGGAGAAAUUGUGAUU
rnacentral:lncRNA from 1 species